rnacentral:rRNA from 1 species
GCCAGGUUACAAAUGCUGGCUGUCCAGAUGCCUAAAAAGCAUUUCAUAGCAAGGGCCGGGCAAGACCGGUGCCAGCCGCCGCGGUAACACCGGCGGCUCGAGUGGUAACCGUUAUUAUUGGGUCUAAAGGGUCUGUAGCCGGCCGGAUAAGUCUCUUGAGAAAUCUGGCAGCUUAACUGUCAGGCUUUCAGGAGAUACUGUCUGGCUCGAGGCCGGGAGAGGUGAGAGGUACUUCGGGGGUAGGGGUGAAAUCUUGUAAUCCAA